rnacentral:lncRNA from 1 species
AAUAAUAUAGGAACAUCGAUCAUAUUGGCUAAAAUAUAACUGAUAGCCAAUUGUUAGAUCUUUGCCCCAAAUAAGUAUUGGCAACGUACAGCGCUUUAUCCACUAUUGAAUAAGUGAAUCAGAGACUCUAAUUUAUUGCCUUUAUAAAGCUAACCAAGUUAAAAACCACAAAUCCGAAGAUAACCAGAAUGAGCGAAACAUGUAAGGGCUUUUGAAUGCACAUGGAACUAUCAAACCUAGACCAAGUGCCAGAAUAUCGCCUUAUCUAUUUCGGCAACGUACAGCGCUUUAUCCACUAUUGACAUAAGUGAAUCAGAGACUCUAAUUUGUUGCCUUUUGUAUCACCAAACUACGAUUUCAGGAAGAAAAAAACAUAGCAGAUUUCAAACAAACUAGGCUCAGAUUAUAAAAAGAAGUAUACAUCAACGAGGUAUGAAUCUCUCAAAGUUUGAUGGUAAUCUUGUUUCAUCAUCAGCGCCUAAUACAGUUGAAC